rnacentral:rRNA from 1 species
AACGAACGCUGGCGGCAGGCUUAACACAUGCAAGUCGAACGAGAUCUUCGGAUCUAGUGGCAGACGGGUGAGGAACACGUGGGAACAUCCCUUUCAGUUCGGAAUAACGUUGGGAAACUAACGCUAAUACCGGAUACGUCCUUCGGGAGCAAGAUUUAUCGCUGAAAGAUUGGCCCGCGUCUGAUUAGCUAGUUGGUGAGGUAAUGGCUCACCAAGGCUACGAUCAGUAGCUGAUCUGAGAGGAUGAUCAGCCACAUUGGGACUGAGACACGGCCCAAACUCCUACGGGAGGCAGCAGUGGGGAAUAUUGGACAAUGGGCGCAAGCCUGAUCCAGCCAUGCCGCGUGAGUGAUGACGGCCUUCGGGUUGUAAAGCUCUUUUGUCCGGGAAGAUAAUGACUGUACCGGAAGAAUAAGCACCGGCUAACUACGUGCCAGCAGCCGCGGUAA